AUGAACGCUAGCGACAGGCUUAACACAUGCAAGUCGAGGGGCAGCACAGGUAGCAAUACCGGGUGGCGACCGGCGCACGGGUGAGUAACGCGUAUGCAACUUGCCUAUCAGAGGGGGAUAACCCGGCGAAAGUCGGACUAAUACCGCAUGAAGCAGGGAUCCCGCAUGGGAAUAUUUGCUAAAGAUUCAUCGCUGAUAGAUAGGCAUGCGUUCCAUUAGGCAGUUGGCGGGGUAACGGCCCACCAAACCGACGAUGGAUAGGGGUUCUGAGAGGAAGGUCCCCCACAUUGGUACUGAGACACGGACCAAACUCCUACGGGAGGCAGCAGUGAGGAAUAUUGGUCAAUGGCCGAGAGGCUGAACCAGCCAAGUCGCGUGAGGGAUGAAGGUUCUAUGGAUCGUAAACCUCUUUUAUAAGGGAAUAAAGUGCGGGACGUGUCCCGUUUUGUAUGUACCUUAUGAAUAAGGAUCGGCUAACUCCGUGCCAGCAGCCGCGGUAAUACGGAGGAUCCGAGCGUUAUCCGGAUUUAUUGGGUUUAAAGGGUGCGUAGGCGGCCUUUUAAGUCAGCGGUGAAAGUCUGUGGCUCAACCAUAGAAUUGCCGUUGAAACUGGGGGGCUUGAGUAUGUUUGAGGCAGGCGGAAUGCGUGGUGUAGCGGUGAAAUGCUUAGAUAUCACGCAGAACCCCGAUUGCGAAGGCAGCCUGCCAAGCCAUGACUGACGCUGAUGCACGAAAGCGUGGGGAUCAAACAGGAUUAGAUACCCUGGUAGUCCACGCAGUAAACGAUGAUCACUAGCUGUUUGCGAUACACUGUAAGCGGCACAGCGAAAGCGUUAAGUGAUCCACCUGGGGAGUACGCCGGCAACGGUGAAACUCAAAGGAAUUGACGGGGGCCCGCACAAGCGGAGGAACAUGUGGUUUAAUUCGAUGAUACGCGAGGAACCUUACCCGGGUUUGAACGCAUUCGGACCGAGGUGGAAACACCUUUUCUAGCAAUAGCCGUUUGCGAGGUGCUGCAUGGUUGUCGUCAGCUCGUGCCGUGAGGUGUCGGCUUAAGUGCCAUAACGAGCGCAACCCUUGCCACUAGUUACUAACAGGUAAAGCUGAGGACUCUGGUGGGACUGCCAGCGUAAGCUGCGAGGAAGGCGGGGAUGACGUCAAAUCAGCACGGCCCUUACAUCCGGGGCGACACACGUGUUACAAUGGCGUGGACAAAGGGAAGCCACCUGGCGACAGGGAGCGAAUCCCCAAACCACGUCUCAGUUCGGAUCGGAGUCUGCAACCCGACUCCGUGAAGCUGGAUUCGCUAGUAAUCGCGCAUCAGCCAUGGCGCGGUGAAUACGUUCCCGGGCCUUGUACACACCGCCCGUCAAGCCAUGAAAGCCGGGGGUACCUGAAGUGCGUAACCGCAAGGAGCGCCCUAGGGUAAAACUGGUGAUUGGGGCU
rnacentral:rRNA from 1 species